GAUGAAGAACGCAGCGAAAUGCGAUAAGUAAUGUGAAUUGCAGAUUUUCAGUGAAUCAUCGAGUCUUUGAACGCACAUUGCGCCCCCUGGUAUUCCGGGGGGCAUGCCUGUCCGAGCGUCAUUGCUGCCCUCAAGCACGGCUUGUGUGUUGGGCCUCCGUCCUCCUCCCGGGGGACGGGCCCGAAAGGCAGCGGCGGCACCGCGUCCGGUCCUCGAGCGUAUGGGGCUUCGUCACCCGCUCUUGUAGGCCCGGCCGGCGCUUGCCGACACAUCAAUCUUUUUUCCAGGUUGACCUCGGAUCAGGUAGGGAUACCCGCUGAACUUAAGCAUAUCAAUAAGCGGAGGA
rnacentral:misc_RNA from 1 species